rnacentral:tRNA from 1 species
GGGGAUAUAGUUCAGUGGGAGAAUGCUUGACUGGCAGUCAAGAGGUCAGGGGUUCGAAUCCCCUUAUCUCCACCA